GUUGAACGCUGGCGGCGUGCCUAACACAUGCAAGUCGAACGAAAAGAUAAAGCACUUGGCUGUUUCACGUAAGCGGCGGGGGCGGGUGAAAAAUGUGUGUAAAGCUCCCUUAUGACGGGGAAAAACUAGUGAAAACGGUACCUAAUACGGCAUAAUUUCCCAAGACCAAGGUGGGUUAGCGACAGGCGGCUUUCCAUCGGAUUUUCCCAGAUCGGAUUAGCUUGUUGGUGGGGUAACGGCUAACCAAGGCGACGAUCCAUAGCCGGCCUGAGAGGAUGAUCAGCCACACUGGAACUGAGACACGGUCCAGACUCCUACGGGAGGCAGCAGUGGGGAAUCUUGCACAAUGGGCGAAAGCCUGACGCAGCAAUGCCGCGUGUAUGAUGAAGGUCUUCGGGUCGUAAAGUACUUUUAGUGGGGAGGAACCGAGUUAUGUUAAUACGUUCGCUCAUUGACGUUACCUGAAGAAGAAGCACCGGCUAACUACGUG
rnacentral:rRNA from 1 species